rnacentral:tRNA from 1 species
GCAUCCAUAACUCAGCUGGUAGAGUAGCUGACUCUUAAUCAGCCUGUCACAGGUUCGAAUCCUGUUGGAUGCACCA